UACGUAGGGCGCAAGCGUUGUCCGGAAUUAUUGGGCGUAAAGAGCUCGUAGGCGGCCUGUUACGUCUGCUGUGAAAUCCCGGGGCUUAACCCCGGGCGUGCAGUGGAUACGGGCAGGCUGGAGGCAGGCAGGGGAGAACGGAAUUCCCGGUGUAGCGGUGAAAUGCGCAGAUAUCGGGAGGAACACCGGUGGCGAAGGCGGUUCUCUGGGCCUGUACUGACGCUGAGGAGCGAAAGCGUGGGGAGCGAACUGG
rnacentral:rRNA from 1 species